AUGUUCUCAGAGUCGCGUUCCUCGGAAUUGGAGCGUAAAGUGGGUGGUAAAUNUCAUCUAAAGCUAAAUAUAGGCUUGAGACCGAUAGCAAACAAGUACCAUGAGGGAAAGAUGAAAAGGACUUUGAAAAGAGAGUUAAAAGUGCUUGAAAUCGCUGAAAGGGAAGCGAAUGGAACCAGUCUUCUGGCUGAGAUUGCUGCAUGCUACUGUGAUGCCUGGCUGCUUCAACGCAAGUGUUGUAGUUAGAGUUGAUCAGCUGCGUGUGGUGUUUCUCAGCUUGUUAGUCAACCUCUGUUUGCGCUUGGGGAUAGCCUCAGGUACACGACGUUUCUCUGCGGAGUCACUCCUGUGCUUGUAGGGACUCAGGUGCGUACUUUUGGUGACAAAAUGGUUCUCUUCGACCCGUCUUGAAACACGGACCAAGGAGUCUAGCACAUGUGCAAGUUCACAGGUGGUAAGCCUGCUUGCGCAAUGAAGGUGACUGCUGGGAUAUUUGCACCAGCAACCGACCAAUCAAUUGAGAGAAGUUUGAGUAUGAGCAUAUGUGUUAGG
rnacentral:rRNA from 1 species